GGGCCGGCGCGGAGCGCGCGACCGUGUGACGUAGGGCGUCCCCCUCCCCGCCGCGGGCGGCGGUUGGGGUUCCGCGGGAACGCGCACACAUUCCCUUCCUCCAACCCCGCUCACGCCCAAGCCCCAUGGAGGAGCCGGCGCCAGGGAGGGAGACAGGCAGCCAAUCAGCGUCGGGUGCAAUGCUGGUCGAAGCCAUACGUUGCCGGCAAACUUCUUGCGCACUUUAACCGCGUUUUCAGCAGCGUGAGAUGCCUGCACAGCAAGCAGUUGGUUUUCCGUGGAGAUGAUUCCUUCACAGCUGAACGUGCCUGACCAAAGCGCAAUGGAUGUCGGAUGGAUGUCACGAGUGGAGGGGAAAGCUGGUUACAGGAGAGUGCCUCGAACACUGAGCAAAUUCUUCCUAAAAAUAUGCGUUUGGUUCCCAGAUGAGUGUGUAGAUUGCUGCUCUGUUCCCAGAUGAGCAAGCCUACAUUUUCAUCUGACGUUCAUAUUAGUCGUGACCAAGAGGCCGUUCAUCUAUAUUGUAGUGGUGGAGAUAAAGAUACAGCACCUUAUGUAACAAAA